GAGUGAUGAUGCGUGUGAUGUUCCGGGAAACAGUGCAUGGCUGAGCUUUAUAAGGGUUGUUUGUUUACCAAAACCCGGAUAGGCAGAGAUGCCGAAAGAAAACAUUCAGG
rfam:Coprococcus eutactus CAG:665 genomic scaffold, scf239